UUUACAUGUUCUCACCUUCCCCACCAUUUUUCAGGUAUCGCGGGCGAUGAGUAGUGGGACGAGACGUGAGGUACGUGUGUAGCGGUCGAUAGAGCUUCCGACCCAGGUUAUUUCGAUUUAGUUAUUAUCCUUGGUAUUUCUGUUGAUAUAUAGUUUAGUUAGUUUAUGUGGUUCAGUAUUUAUUUACAUUUGAAAAUGUGGAUUUCUGGAUUUUGUAAAAUAAAAGGUUUUCUACCCCUCGUGGUAGCGUUUUUAAAAGAAUAAAAGUUUCUGUGUAGGAAACAGUUUUCAAAAGAUUUUUGUGGAUUUCUGUUUAAACCUUGAAUGUAAAACUGUGAUGUGAAUGGUGAAUGUAUGAAUGUAUAGUUAUCUUUAUAUUCAUCUGGUUGUGGUUGUAUCCUGGUUGUACUGUGUAUUUGAUCGACGCCGUGCAAAUACAGGGGAGACUCUGUCCGUGUGAACAGUGGAUU
rnacentral:lncRNA from 1 species